GAAAUGCGAUACGUAAUGUGAAUUGCAGAACUCAGUGAAUCAUCAAAUCUUUGAACGCAUAUUGCACUAACAGUAAUGUUAGUACACUUGUUUGAGUGUCGUUUAUAAAACUUCAUAAUUUUUAUAAAAUUGAAUGUCAAAUUUAAUCAGUUUGUCAUUUUAAUCAUAAUUUAUUCAUUUACAUUUUGUAAAAUAUUUGUUUGUUAAUAAAUGAUAAUAUAAAUAUCGAUCUCAAAUCAAGUGAGGAUACCCGCUGAAUUUAA
rnacentral:misc_RNA from 1 species